rnacentral:rRNA from 1 species
AGGGUUUGAUCCUGGCUCAGAACGUACGCUGGCGGCACGCCUAACACAUGCAAGUCGAACGAAGUAGCAAUACUUAGUGGCAGACGGGUGAGUAACAUGUAGGUAUCUGCCCUUUGGCCUGGAAUAACACGAGGAAACUUGUGCUAAUACUGGAUAAGUCUUUACGGAGAAAGCUUUAUGCACCAUUGGAUGAGCCUGCACUUGAUUAGUUUGUUGGUAGGGUAAUGGCCUACCAAGACUUUGAUCAAUAGCUGAUUUGAGAGGAUGAUCAGCCACAUUGGGACUGAGACACGGCCCAAACUCCUACGGGAGGCAGCAGUGGGGAAUCUUGCACAAUGGAGGAAACUCUGAUGCAGCGAUGCCGCGUGAGUGAAGAAGGCCUUUGGGUUGUAAAGCUCUUUCGUCGGGGAAGAAAAUGACUGUACCCGAAUAAGAAGGUCCGGCUAACUUCGUGCCAGCAGCCGCGGUAAUACGAAGGGACCUAGCGUAGUUCGGAAUUACUGGGCUUAAAGAGUUCGUAGGUGGUUGAAAAAGUUGGUGGUGAAAUCCCAGAGCUUAACUCUGGAACUGCCAUCAAAACUUUUCAGCUAGAGUUUGAUAGAGGAAAGCAGAAUUUCUAGUGUAGAGGUGAAAUUCGUAGAUAUUAGAAAGAAUACCAAUUGCGAAGGCAGCUUUCUGGAUCAUUACUGACACUGAGGAACGAAAGCAUGGGUAGCGAAGAGGAUUAGAUACCCUCGUAGUCCAUGCCGUAAACGAUGUGUGUUAGACGUUGGAAAUUUAUUUUCAGUGUCGCAGCGAAAGCGAUAAACACACCGCCUGGGGAGUACGACCGCAAGGUUAAAACUCAAAUGAAUUGACGGGGACCCGCACAAGUAGUGGAGCAUGUGGUUUAAUUCGAAGAUACGCGCAGAACCUUACCAACACUUGACAUGUUCGUCGCGACUUUAAGAGAUUAAAGUUUUCGGUUCGGCCGGACGAAACACAGGUGCUGCAUGGCUGUCGUCAGCUCGUGUCGUGAGAUGUUGGGUUAAGUCCCGCAACGAGCGCAACCCUCACUUUUAGUUGCCAUCAUUUAGUUGGGCACUCUGAAAGAACUGCCAGUGAUAAGCUGGAGGAAGGUGGGGAUGACGUCAAGUCCUCAUGGCCCUUACGUGUUGGGCUACACACGUGCUACAAUGGUAUCUACAACAGGAAGCAAGACGGCGACGUCAAGCAAAUCCUCAAAAGAUACCUCAGUUCGGAUUGUACUCUGCAACUCGAGUACAUGAAGCUGGAAUUACUAGUAAUCGUGGAUCAGCGUGCCACGGUGAAUGCGUUCCCGGGUCUUGUACACACCGCCCGUCACACCAUGGGAGUUGGUUCUACCUUAAGGCAAGGUUUUAAACCCUUGACCACGGUAUAGUCAGCGACUGGGGUGAAGUCAUAACAAGGUAGCCGUA